GGUCCCCUAGCUCAGUUGGUUAGAGCGCACGGUUCACAUCCGUGAGGUCACAGGUUCGAGCCCUGUGGGGACCA
rnacentral:tRNA from 1 species